AUUGAACGCUGGCGGCGUGCUUAACACAUGCAAGUCGAUCGGUAACGCGGGGGCAACCCUGGCGACGAGAGGCGGACGGGUGAGGAACGCUUGGGAAUCUGCCUAUCAGCGGGGGACAACACGGGGAAACUCGUGCUAAUACCGCAUACGCCCUACGGAGGAAAGCCGGGGACCGCAAGGCCUGGCACUGAUAGAUGAGCCCAAGCCGGAUUAGCUAGUUGGCGGGGUAACGGCCCACCAAGGCGACGAUCCGUAGCUGGUCUGAGAGGACGAUCAGCCUCACUGGAACUGAGACACGGUCCAGACUCCUACGGGAGGCAGCAGUGGGGAAUAUUGGACAAUGGGGGAAACCCUGAUCCAGCGACGCCGCGUGGGUGAAGAAGGCCUGCGGGUUGUAAAGCCCUUUCGGUAGGGACGAAAGCUCUCGACCUAACACGUCGGGAGGUUGACUUAACCUACAGAAGAAGCACCGGCUAACUCUGUGCCAGCCGCCGCCGUAAUAC
rnacentral:rRNA from 1 species